rnacentral:rRNA from 1 species
UACGUAGGGGGCAAGCGUUGUCCGGAUUUAUUGGGCGUAAAGAGCGUGUAGGCGGUCAGGUAGGUCCGUUGUGAAAACUCGAGGCUCAACCUCGAGACGCCGAUGGAAAACCAUCUGACUAGAGUCCGGAAGAGGAGAGUGGGAAUUCCUGGUGUAGCGGUGAAAUGCGCAGAUAUCAGGAAGAACACCCGUGGCGAAGGCGGCUCUCUGGGACGGUACUGACGCUGAGACGCGAAAGCGUGGGGAGCGAACAGGG